CAGCAGCCACGGUAAUACGAGGGGUGCAAGCGUUACUCGGAUUGAUUGGGUGUAAAGGGUGUGCAGACGGCUUAUUAAGUCACUUGUUAAAUUCAUCGGCCUAACUGAAGGUCUGCAAGUGAUACUGAUGAGCUAGAGGGUGGAAGAGAGAAGUGGAAUUCUCGGAGUAGCGGUAAAAUGCGUAGAUCUCGAGAGGAACACCAAUGGCGAAGGCAGCUUCUUGGUCCAUUCCUGACGUUCAUACACGAAAGCGUGGGGAGCAAACAGGAUUAGAUACCCCGGUAGUCCCUGUCUCUUAUAA
rnacentral:rRNA from 1 species